AGAACAAGAAAGUUGGGAGGUUACCGGUAGUUUGUGUGUGUGUGUGUUCCUGCACUUUUAUAAGGAAAUAUCCAGGUCCGCCGAAUGUGUCCUAAAUGUGUGUGUGUGAACCCCACUGCGCCUAGGGAAAACUGAACAGCGGGACAGCAGGGGAGAAAAAGCACAGGAGAAAGCCGUGAUUUGCUUCCGGGUGUGUUUGGCGCGCAAGCAGCACGUCAGAGUGAGAGUAAUACGAGGUUUGGGCUCACCCACUGCCUGGCAUAUAAACGAUGCCGCUCCUCCUGAAAUCCCUGUCUGAUCGUCAGGGGACUUGAUGAAGCUGGGCAUGCCUAAAGAUGAGAGACAGCAAGACAAAGGCGAGGGA